UACGUAGGGGGGCAAGCGUUGUCCGGAAUUAUUGGGCGUAAAGCGCGCGCAGGCGGCUUUGUAAGUUUGGUGUUUAAUCUCAGAGCUCAACUCUGAUUCGCAUCGAAAACUGCAAGGCUUGAGUACAGAAGAGGAAAGUGGAAUUCCACGUGUAGCGGUGAAAUGCGUAGAGAUGUGGAGGAACACCAGUGGCGAAGGCAGCCCCCUGGGCUAACACUGACGCUCAUGCACGAAAGCGUGGGGAGCAAACAGG
rnacentral:rRNA from 1 species